UUCCAUGGUGAACUUAUGGCACUGAAAUGGUGUGACAACAAGGCAGUCACAAUGUUGUCAAUAUUCCACAAUGAUACUGUGAUUGAAGUAGACAACAGAUGGAAAGAAAACUAAGAAGCCAUGUGUCAUUGUGGAUUAUAACGAUAAUAUGGGAGCAGUGGACUUGGCUGAUCAGAUGCUCACUUCUUAUCCAGCUUAGCGCCAAAGGUACAAGGUUUGGUAUAAGAUAUUCUUUCACCUUCUAAACGUUAAAGUGUUGAACUCCCACAUUCUGUUUAAGAAGGACAAUCCUGAGCACACGAUUAGCCUUGUAAACUUUAGAC
rnacentral:lncRNA from 1 species